UAAAAAUGAAAACUAAGGUGUUUUUUGCCAAAUCAAAAUUUGGGGCUUCAAUUGCAGAAUUGGCGCGAUUCCAUAGUUUGAGCCAAUUGAAGCCCCCAAAUUUUGAUUUGGCAAAAAACACCUUAGUU
rnacentral:pre_miRNA from 1 species